GUACACGCUGUGACUAGCAUAUCAAUAAGCGGAGGAAAAGAAACUAACAAGGAUUCCCCUAGUAACGGCGAGUGAAGCGGGAAGAGCUCAAAUUUGAAAUCUUAAAGGGUUUCCCUUUACGAAUUGUAGUUUAAAGAAGUGUUUUCUGUUGAGGUUUUGGUAAAAGCUCUUUGGAAUAGGACAUCAUAGAGGGUGAGAAUCCCGUAUUUGACCUUUACUUUCAACUUUGUGAUACACUUUCAAAGAGUCGGAUUGUUUGGGAAUGCAGUCCAAAAUGGGUGGUAAAUUUCAUCUAAAGCUAAAUAUUGGCGAGAGACCGAUAGCGAACAAGUACCGUAAGGGAAAGAUGAAAAGAACUUUGAAAAGAGAGUUAAACAGUACGUGAAAUUGUCAAAAGGGAAGCGUUUGACACCAGUGUUGUUUUUCUGAAAAUCAAUUAAAGAACUGUUUAUGCUAAGCUGUUUAGACUUUAUCAGCUAACUGUUUAGUUUUGAGCUUUUCUUUAAUGCACUUUUCAGUUAACAAGUCAACAUCAAUUUCUUUUGCUGUAAAAAAGCUUGAGGAAGGUGGCUUGAGAUUCGUCUUAAGUGUUUAUAGCCUCUUGCCUAUGCAGUCGGAGAGAUUGAGGUCUGCAGCGUAGAUCCUUCGGGGCUAAAUGCAUUUGUGCUAAGUUAUAGCAUUUUAUAGACAACUUGUUGACUAUGAUUUGUCUUGUAGCUUACUCGCUUAUGUUAUUUUACCUACGCUUAGGAUGUUGAAGUCAUCGUAUCGCGC
rnacentral:rRNA from 1 species